rnacentral:rRNA from 1 species
CAGUCGCCGCGGUAACACGUAGGGUGCGAGCGUUAAUCGGAAUUACUGGGCGUAAAGCGUGCGUAGGCGGUGAGUUAAGUCUGCUGUGAAAUCCCCGGGCUCAACCUGGGAAUGGCAGUGGAUACUGGCUCGCUAGAGUGUGUCAGAGGAUGGUGGAAUUCCCGGUGUAGCGGUGAAAUGCGUAGAGAUCGGGAGGAACAUCAGUGGCGAAGGCGGCCAUCUGGGACAACACUGACGCUGAGGCACGAAAGCGUGGGGAGCAAACAGGAUUAGAUACCCCUGUAGUCCCUGUCUCUUAUAC